rnacentral:rRNA from 1 species
UCGGCAGACCGCUCAGUAACACGCGGAUAACCUGCCCUUGGGUGGGGCAUAAGCUCGGGAAACUGAGUAUAAUACCCCAUAGGCCAUCUUUGCUGGAAUGCUUGAUGGUCGAAAGCUCCGGCGCCCAAGGAUGGGUCUGCGGCCUAUCAGGUCGUAGUUGGUGUAACGGACCAACUAGCCUUCGACGGGUACGGGCCUUGAGAGAGGUAGCCCGGAGAUGGACUCUGAGACAUGAGUCCAGGCCCUACGGGGCGCAGCAGGUGCGAAAACUUCGCAAUAUGGGAAACCACGACGAGGGGAGUCCAAGUGCUUGCACAAUGUGUAGGCUGUUUCCGUGCCUAAAAAGCACGGAGAGUAAGGGCUGGGUAAGACGGGUGCCAGCCGUCGCGGUAAUACCCGCAGCCCGAGUGGUGGUCGCUAUUAUUGGGCCUAAAACGUCCGUAGCCGGCCCGGUAAAUUCUUGGGGAAAUCGGUCAGCUCAACUGACCGAAGUCCGAGGAGACUGCCGGGCUUGGGACUGGGUGAGGUCAGAGGUACUUCAGGGGUAGGGGUAAAAUCCUGUAAUCCUUGAAGGACCACCAGUGGCGAAGGCGUCUGACUAGAACGGAUCCGACGGUAAGGGACGAAGCCCUGGGGCACAAACGGGAUUAGAUACCCCGGUAGUCCAGGGUGUAAACGCUGUGGGCUUGGUGUUGGGAGUCCCACGAGGGCGCCCAGUGCCCGGAGAGAAGUUGUUAAGCCUACUGCUGGGGAGUACGCUCGCAGAGUGAACUUAAGGAAUUGGCGGGGAGCACCGCAACGGGUGGAGCGUGCGGUUUAAUU